rnacentral:rRNA from 1 species
GACAGAGGUGCCGAGCGUUAGGCGGAAUCACUGGGCUUAAAGCGUGUGUAGGCGGGUCCGUAAGUACCUUGUGAAAUCCCACGGCUCACCCGUGGAACUGCUGGGCAUACUGGCGAUCUUGGGCCAACUAGGGGCAACUGGAACAAGCGGUGGAGCGGUGAAAUGCGUAGAUAUCGCUUGGAACGCCAACGGUGACAACAGGUUGCUGGGGUUGUGCCGACGCUGAGACACGAAAGCCAGGGGAGCAAACGGG